GGCUUUUUAGCUCAGUGGUUAGAGCGCUCGAUUCCCAUGCCGGUGUGUUGAGGUGGCGGGUUCGAGUGCCGUGAGCGUCG
rnacentral:tRNA from 1 species